GUAUCAGUACUUGCAUAGGAAAAUCUUCACUUUUAGCCUAAGCAAAACCAUACUUGCCUAGUUCUUAGAGUUCUUCGCCUAGCACGAUAGCCUAUAAAAAGAAAAAAAAGAGAGAUAAGUCGUUUAGGUCAAGUAAAAUGCGUUGAGUUCCUUUGUAUACAAUCAUUUCAUGAUCAUUUAGAUUUGAUCGUUUAAAUUCAGCUACUCAAAUCUGAACAAUUUUUUAAGAUUUGUUGUACUCAAUCGAUCAUGUAGAUAUUUGACUAUUUUUGUUCAGAUUUGGCUAUCCAAUAUAACGAUCUUUAGUAUUUAGAACAACCAAAUAACAAUUUGAACAAAAAAAUUUACAAAUAGAUAUUUUAUAUUUGAUACACGAUCUUGAACCAAAUAACAGUUUGAAAAAAUAAAUAAAAAAUUGCAGAAGAAGACAUUGAAAAGAAAAAAAAUCGAUGAAAAAAAAUGACAAACCUGAAACAUUUUAAAAAAAUGGUCAGCGCCUUUUCAUUUUGUUAUACAUACCGUAAAUAUUUUGCUUUAUAUUUAUAUAAAUUAACCUUUAGAAUUUUUAUUAAGAUUCUUUUUUUUUAACAGACAAUAUUUAAUAAUGUAAUAACAAUUUUGAUCCAUUUUUUAUAGAAAACUUCUAUAAAUAAUUUUAGUUCUCAAACUUUACUAGAAAUUUGAAGAAUAUUUGUAAUGUGAUUAAUUCGAAUUCAAAUCAUUUUAUGAGUUAAAUUUAAAGAAAUUAAAUUAUUAUCAAAUCAACUUUAAAAAAGUUAUUUUAUAUAAAUAUCCACCUAUUUUACUAAUUAAAAUUCAAAUUACAUAUUCUUUUAUUUAAUAUCUAAAAUUUACACAUUUGAAAUUUUAUUUCCUUUCUUUUCAUUUUUUCUCCUAUUUUAUAUUUGAAAUUUUAUUUCCUUUCUUUUCAUUUUUUCUCCUAUUUUAUAUUUCAAGGUUUAAAUAGUAGUUUUGUUUUAUUGUAACUAAUAAGUAUGUAUGUAACAACAUAUUAAAAAAAUUAAAAAUAUCACAAAGUUCAUAAGUAUUUAUAGACUCUUAUGAUCUAUUAGUGAUAGACCUAUAUUUACAACAUGAUCUAUUAGAAUUAGAUUUAUGUUCGUGCUUUUUGGUAGGUUAUGAGUUAUGUACUUACAUUUUAAAAUUGUUAGGUCGAUUUGAAAAUUCAAAUGAUAUUCCAAGGUAAUUCUUGAAAUAUUUCUUUACAUUACAUUUAUUAAAUCGCUAUUGAAUUUAUUAAGAGCUUGAUAAAUAACCACUUAACUUAAAAAUUAGAGAGGAUAAUUGAUAGACCACUAAUAGAUGUUUGAUAAACACUAAUAGAUGUCUAUUGAUGUCUAUCACUAACAGACUGUAAAACUUUGUUGUAUUUGUAAAUAUCUUCAACAAUUAUAUCAUUUAAGAUAAUUUCUCAUAUAAUAUCAGAUUAAUUGAAAGAAAACUCAAAUUAAAUAAGUUGAAUUAAAAAAUUGUAUGAAUGUUUCUAGAACCAUUAAUUAUAAAUUCAAAAUUUUUUAAUGAAAAAUUGGAUUGAUUUGUGGUGACGGCUAAGUUGCGGUGUUCAACCAUUAUUUCCAGUUUCUAAUACUUUCAUCCAUUGCAAAAAUUGAAAACUAAUGUUCACAAUUUCUUGUCUUAUUAAAUGAAGUUUCACAAUUCUUGAAAAUUUUGGAUUAUAAUUAUUUGAAAACAAAAAUAUUUUUUUUGUUUGAUCAUUACGGAAAAUUUUGUUGUUUUACGAGUUAUUCUUUUAAUUAAUGGUUCUUAUUUGUGUUUGUUCGACAAUAUUUUUACCUUAGUUUCCCUUUUGUUGCAGUAAAAUUUGAUUUGUGUUUUAAACUUAUGACAUAUAAUUCAAAUGUUUUUUUAAGCUGUGGAACCAUAAAUAAAUAUGGGAAAUUGACAAAAAUAGGCCAAAAUGGGGUACAUAAAGGCUUGUAGGAUUGAUUGUAAAAAAGUUGACAUUUAGGACAAAUUGGAGGUAAAAUGACGAAAAUACCCUCAUUUAAUUUCCUUCCUCUUUUCUUCUUUUUCCUUUUCUUCAACCCAAAGACAGAGAAGGUUGUUCAAAAGAAAAAAAACGUAAACCUCCCGCAUUUGAACUCUCCUGCCUCUGCAGUUACCCCCUUCAACUCUCUCCCGCCUCCGGUGAACGUUUUUCUCUUCCGUCCAUUUCUUCUCCACGACUCUCCACUAUAUUUUCUGAUUUCAACUUUUUCACCGAACGUCUCCAUUUCUUCUGCACGGGUCUCUGUUUUAGUUUCGACUUCAACUCCGGUGAACGCUUCUCCACUUCUAUCCAUUUCGAUUUCAGCUUUGUUUUCACCGGACCUCUCCAUUUCUUAUCCACUCCUCUACAUUGGCAGUGUCGUAUCCAUCAUCUUUGAAGUCAAGUGAGUAAUAAAAUCUCAGUUUUUUUUUUAAAGUUAGUCUGUUGAAGAUAUGUUUAUCUAUUAUUACAGUAUCCAUCUUGUUUGUUUAAGUUGUCUGUUGAGAUGUGGGUUUUUUGUUUUGGGCACAUUUUAGAUACAUCAUUAAAUUUGUAGAGAACCAUGGGAGCCAUUCUGUUUUUAGGAAGAAAAACCAUUUCCUUUGCAAUGUACUGUAAUAAUAGAUAAUUGGGUUAAGAAUGUAUUAUAUAUGUGCAUGCUACAAAUAUAUGUAUAUAUACAUACCUUGGAGUUUAGAACAUGAAUUCCAACAUAUUUGGUAUCCCAUCUAAACUCUGCAAAGCUACCAGUACAACAAUGUUGAAAGACAUUAUCAUAAGCUGCAUUGUUGUUUUCUACUUUGUUAAUGUUUUUAGUGAUGUAGUUCCAAUAUAAUACAAUCUUUGUUGCCUUGUAUAACCAAGAAGCUCCCCAUAUUAAUUCGUCCUAUUCAAACCAAUUUAUUUAAGAUUCAUAUGUUAGAGAAAAUUUGAAGACAAAUGAUUCAAUUAGUUUUGUUCCUAAACAUACAUGUAGGCUUUCCUCCUACUAUUAAUCAUUUUAGUUAAAGUGUUACAAUAUACGUUUAGCAGUGCAAGCAAUUUGGUUUAGUAAUCUAAUUUGGUUUAUUGGCCUUUACUUGACCAAAACUUGAGUAGAAGUCCCAAGAUGAGAGUGUUACCCUUCCUAAAUCAUUUAGAAUGCAUGUUUAACUAGUUUACUAGGUUUUAAGGGUUUAGGGUUAGCAAUUUUAUUAGACUUAGCAAGUAAUAGUCUUGAAUUUUUCCAUCUCGCACCUAUCAGCACCUAUCUCGCACCUUCCAAAAUUUGAGUAGAAGUCCCAAGAUGAGAGUGUUAACCUUCCUAAACCGUUUAGAAUGCAUGUUUAGCUAGUUUACUGGGUGUUAAGGCUUUAGGGUUAGCAAUUUUAUUAGACUUAGCAACUUUGCCUUGAAUUUUUCCAUCAUCUCGCACCUAUCAGCACCUUUCUCGCACCUUCCAAAAUUUGAGUAGAAGUCCCAAGAUGAGAGUGUUAACCUUCCUAAACCGUUUAGAAUGCAUGUUUAGCUAGUUUACUAGGAGUUAAGGCAUUAGGGUUAGCAAUUUUAUUAGACUUAGCAAGUAAUGCCUUCAAUUUUUCCAUCUUUAUUAGACUUAGCAAGUAAUAGCCUUGAAUGUUUCCAUCAUCUCGCACCUAUCAGCACCUAUCUGACACCUUCCAAAAUUUGAGUAUAAGUCCCAAGAUGAGAGUGUUAACCUUCCUAAACCGUUUAGAAUGCAUGUUUAGCUAGUCUACUAGGUGUUAAGGCUUUAGGGUUAGCAAUUUUUUUAGAUUUAGCAACUUUGCCUUGAAUUUUUCCAUCAUCUCGCAACUAUCAGCACCUAUCUCGCAUCUUCCAAAAUUUUAAGUAGAAGUCCCAAGAUGAGAGUGUUAACCUUCCUAAACCAUUUAGAAUGCAUGUUUAGCUAGUCUACUAGGUGUUAAGGCUUUAGGGUUAGCAAUUUUAUUAGACUUAGCAACUUUGCCUUCAAUUUUUCCAUCAUCUCGCACCUUCCAAAAUUUUGAGUAAAAGUCCCAAGAUGAGAGUGUUAACCUUCCUAAACCGUUUAGAAUGCAUGUUUAGCUAGUCUACUAGGUGUUAAGGCUUUAGGGUUAGCAAUUUUAUUAGACUUAGCAACUUUGCCUUCAAUUUUUCCAUCAUCUCGCACCUAUCAGCACCUAUGUCGCACCUUUCAAAAUUUUGAGUAGAAGUCCCAAGAUGAGAGUGUUAACCUUCCUAAACCGUUUAGAAUGCAUGUUUAGCUAGUCUACUAGGUGUUAAGGCUUUAAGGUUAGCAAUUUUAUUAGACUUAGCAACUUUGCCUUCAAUUUUUCCAUCAUCUCGCACCUAUCAGCACCUAUGUCGCACCUUCCAAAAUUUUGAGUAGAAGUCCCAAGAUGAGAGUGUUAACCUUCCUAAACCGUUUAGAAUUCAUGUUUAGCUAGUCUACUAGGUGUUAAGGCUUUAGGGUUAGCAAUUUUAUUAGACUUAGCAACUUUGCCUUCAAUUUUUCCAUCAUCUCGCACCUAUCAGCACCUAUCUCGCACCUUCCAAAAUUUUAGUAGAAGUCUGAAGAUGCUAGUGCAUCCAUGUUUAGUAAGUUUCUUAUGCAAUUAUAUUGAAUUAGUUUUUUUUUUUUUUAUGCAGAUUUCAGUAUGGCUUCAACAUCAACUAACGGUCUCAUGUACAAGAUUGACCCUGCUCAUCAUUUUCAGUCUAUAGUAAGCAGUUUAUCUCAUUUAGAAAACAAUACGCGUAAAAUAAAGGCUAAAUUGAAACCGGAUCAAUUAACCUUAUUUAGAAAUACAAAGUUCGGCCACUUUUUGGAUCUUAAUAUAGUCUUUAAUGGGCCGCUCAUCCACUACUUAUUGUUAAGGGAGGUGGAAGAUGAAAGGGUUGAUCAUAUCAGUUUCAAGAUAGGGGAAGUUGUGUGCAGUUUUGGUAGGAGAGAGUUUAAUAUGAUGACGGGUCUAUGGAGUUCUCAACCAGAGCCUAUUGAAUUGGUUGGGAAUAGUAGGUUGUUGGAGAAGUUCUUCGAACAAAAAAAAAAGUAUUUAUAUAAGUGACUUAGACACAUUUGUGGAAUACGAGAGGGAUGACGAUGACGAUGACAUAGUUAAAUUAGCUCUAGUGCACUUUAUAGAGCUGUCAUUGUUAGAAAAAGAUAGGCGGACGAAAGUGGACCGAACUUUAUUUAGGAUUGUAGAUGAUUGGACCACAUUUAACAAUUACGAUUGGGGAGGGUUGGUUUUUGGACGUACACUUUCUGCCUUAAAACGAGCCUUGGACAUGCAACAUGCCAAGGGAAAGAAUAAAUCAACUAAGACAAAAUAUACUGUCAUGGGAUUUCCGCAGGCGUUACAGGUAUGUUACUUUACUUUUUAUGCACAUAUUUAUAUAUACAUAUAUCUUGGGACACUUGCGAAACUUGUUUUGUCGAACAUGGAAUAGGUUUGGGCAUAUGAGUCUAUACCAACCAUCACUGAAUGUGGUGUACAUAAAGUAAGCAACGAUGCAAUACCACGAAUGCUGAGGUGGGUGUGCGAACUAUCGUCGAAGUCUCAUGUCCUAUAGAGCCAGGUGUUUGACUCGCCAAUGGUAAGUAUCAACAAACAGUAACUUACCGAAUGCAUGACUUUGUUCCUUUAUGUUUUGACUAACUAACUACAUUUCCACUUUGUAGUUCAUAAUUAACGUGGUAAUUGAGAUGAUGCCUGAAGAGGAGGAGCAUCUAAGAAUGUCUUCAGGGAAACUUGUUGAGAAAUCCCAUCCAUUUAACACCGUUUCUGAGAAGAAUGGUGAUUCAAAACGACCAGGAGAAGCUAGUAAUGAUGACAAUGACUGCAAAAAGAGUAAGAAAAAGAAGAAGUGGAAGUCUAAGAUGAAAGAAGUUGUUCGAAAACUCAAAUAUCGAGUAGCGGUUCUCGAGAAUGAACGUGAAGCCUAAAAUCAAUGCUGUCGACUAUAUUGAAACACCUUGAAGUUCAAAAAAAGGUUAGGAAUCAAAGUUUGUUUAAAAUUUUCAAAGUUUGUGGUACAUUUUCAAAGUGUUCCUUACCAAUACAUUUUGACAUUUCCAAAGGGUGAAGAAGGAGACUGCACGGGAGUUGAAGGUCAUGAUGCCUAGACCGAAGAUGUUGACACACCCGGUACACCUUCUUGGUUGAGGAUGCCAAGGAGGAUGACACAAGUGAUGGGGUGAAACACGUUGAACUUCAAAAAAGGUUAGGAAUCAAAGUUUGUGUAGUGGGUGAAAAUCAUCCUUACUAAUGCUUUAUCCUUAGUAAUGCAUUUUGACCUUCCAUAGGGUGUCGAAGCAAACCGCACGAAGGAUGACAAAAUGGACGAGUUAGAUAAGAAGGUUCAUAUUGAUUUGGAGGAGCCAAUAGACGUCGUUGACGAUUUCAACGAGGAAAUUGGAGUAAAAAGUCUUACUUAUUUUGAUUCAGACGUCAUGGAAAUAGAACCAUUAUCCACUAAACGACCACACCGGCCCUCACGUAGCAAGCGUGCAAGUGUAUACUUGUCAACCCCCUUCACAGCUUUAGUUAAACGGUCUACAAAAUCAACCACCACCACCUCUCAGUCUCAACCAUCCGUCUAUGAUCCUAUGCACAAAAUACCUUACGCCCAUUUAGAUCGACUCAAAGCUUGGAUCACAGACAAGCGUACGAAAGAUGAGGUGCGUGAAACUUUCACGGGAAAAAAUCGAAGGAAUUUUUCAGAGACUUGUUCAUGUGUCGUCGGUGGUUGGCUGAUGAGGUAAGGACUUUUCUUAUUAUUUCUUAUUUACCGUUUUAGAGCACUUAGUAAAACCAUGUUUGUUAACUAAAAAUAGUACCUUCAAGAAGUUGGUUUGAUCGCGUAACCGAAUUAAAUGUUUUAUUUUGUUUCUAUUAGCAUUUGGAUGCACUCUUUCUUCUCAUUCGCUUCAACAUUAAGUCAGCCAUGAUACCUUCUGCUCAAAACUUCACAACUGUAGACACACUCUUCAUGGUUUGCACUCGCAACCAUACUUUAUGUACUGAAUUUGCUUUUGAUAUUUGUCUUAUUGUCUUAUUGUAUUUGAUAUACAUGCAUGUGUGUUUUUUUUCCUUCCAGCGACUAUUAGUUGCGAAGUGACCUGAAUACCAAGAAUGUAUUAAAGAGAAUCGACCAUUUCACUGGAAGGAGGAGUAUCGGUUGGUUGACUAUGUUGUCGGAUCAAAACAAGACUUUCAAGAUCCUUGGGUGAAUGUUGAUUACAUUUACUCUCCAUUCAAUAUCCAUGGCAAUCAUUGGAUUCUAUUAUGCUUGGAUGGUACGUUGUCAAGUUAAGGUAUGAGAUUCACUUCCGUCGCUUACGAUUGCCGAAGAUAUGACACUAGAAGAAAAACUGUCUACUAUGACAGUUAUGGAUAUCAGAAAAUGAGAGAGAGAAAAAAAAACUGUCACAAAAUGUAAAAUUUCGCGUUUUUGGUAGGAAAAGACGGAAUUUUUCAGAUAAUACAUUCUGCGACAGUUAUUUGAUGUCAUAGAAAAAAACAUAAAAUAAUAUUUUUUUAUUAAAAAAUAAUAAAUAAAGAUUAGAAAUUUAGAAAAUAUUUCCCCAAAUCAUAAACCCUUAUUAUUUUCUCCAAUUCUUCCGCGAAAUCUCCAUCUCCAAUCUGAUCAUCUUCCAUCUCCAAUCCGACCAUCUUCCGGCCUCGUCACCAUUCGCCCCUACUCCUGGCCGUCUAUUCACUCUGGCGUGGCCAUCUAUUCGCUCCGAUGUGUCCAUCGUUUUCGUCUUCUCCGGCGCUGCCAUUCGUGCCCGCCGUCACCUUCUCUGCCGGUAAGCUUCUAUUCCUUCUCUCUUUGUCUAGCUCUUUGUGAAUAUUGUGUAUUUCCCUUUCAUAAACAUUCCAACAAUCCAAUGUCUUUAUACAUGAGUUUCAACUACCCCUCUUCUUCUUACCCAAGUCAGAAGAAGAAAAGUGAAGGAGGGGCAAGUUUUUUUUUUUUUUUUCAUGGUGGAAGUUUGAAUUUUGAAAGUGUGUGUUCAAAUGUCGCUUCAUUAUCCUAAGUACACGAAGAGGGAUUAUGAGAAAAUGGAGUAAGGUAAGUUGAAUUUGCUUCUAAAACAAUAUGGACUCUGUUUUGAUGGUACCCUUAAGGGAAAAGAGCAUUUGCUAUUGGGAUGUUCUUAUGGCCUUAACAACUUUGAAUUUACCCACCAUGUGUUUGAUGAAAUUCCUAAAAAAAAAAACUAUUAAAUUUUUAUGAACUCCAACUCUGCCCUUGGUCUUGAUUGUCACAUCUUAUGUUUCUAUGAAUGUUUCUUAGUGUGCGAGAAUGGUUUUUCAGGAUUCAAUAUUUAACAAAAACGUCUACAUGCUAGCAAGGUUUGAUUUUCUCCAUUUUUCUUUGAAUUGGUGCUUACCUAGUGAUUUUAAGAUAUGAUUUGGAGUAGUUGUGUAAAUGACUGAUAAUUUGUGGGGAUUUUCACUUAAUACAUUUAGGAUUUUCGUUAGGUUUUAUCUUGUUGUACUGUGGACGGAGGAAGAACAUAAGUUUUCCUUGUUGGGAUUACAACAAGAUUUCUUGAUUGAUAGGAUUUUGGAAUCAUGCAGAAAAGUUGAAGUAUUCUCUUAUUUAUUUCUUGAAAUCUUCUAAAAAAGAACAUCAUCAAUCAAUUCUAUCUUGAAACUUAAACAAGAUUUUUUUUUGUGAGAUUAUGAGAAAAUAUGAUAUUAGUUUGUGCUUGUAAGGUGUUUGACGAUAUGUGUCUGAAGCUUUAAAAGUUUUUUUCUUUUUCUUUUGCAUUGUGCGAGUGUGUUUUAUGAUCUGAUUGUUACACACACUGAAACCUAUUUUUAACUUAAUAUAUUAGACUUGUUGUAAUGAAGUUUAGUUUGGCAAUUGGCAAUUCACCAUUUAGAAAAUUGUUUGAUUUGUUUUUAUUGUGCUAGUUGCUGUCAUUUUGCAGUUUGCACAAGUAUUUGUAGCCAAGUCAUGUCAAUUCAUCUAUAUGGUGCAUAAUGGUUUUUUAGUGUACACUUUUCACCCCUCUUUCCUCCUUUUGGAUAGAAGUUGCUCAAAAUGUUCAAUCUCGUGAAUUAAUUGUUUCCCUGUUUUCAUAGGCAGGAAGCGUGGAUGUUCAAUUAUAUAUACGUUUGUUUAUGAGCUAUUUUUGAUACCCUGAAAUCAUUUGAUUCAUAGACCUAAUAUCUUUUAUGCUAUGAGUUGGUCUAAAUGUAUAUUUUGUUGUCUCCAUUAGACUGAGGAUCCACUAUCUUUUCAUUGUAGAUAAUAUAUGGGUCCUCGAAAAUGUUCUGCUCAGUUUUCCUGAUAAUUUAUGUUCCAGACUUAUGAUGGAAUGAUUAUUGGAGAACAUUCUAGGGAAUCAGAUCUAGAUGUAAGUUGAGAACUUUAUGUUUAGACUUUGGAUCGAAGUUGUAAUUUCUACUUGAUUUACAUGGUAAGCAAUUUUCUUUUUUCUAGGUUAAUCUUGUAAGAACUAAAGAAAACUUACCAAUAUCUGUUCUGCUUGCAAAGAUGAAAACUGAAGCUAUCUCCACCUCGACUUGUAUGUUAUUUCUACAUUGAGUUCCAAUUGUAUAUAUUUUAGUGUUAUUGUGAAUCCAGUAUCCAAGAUGUAGAAUUCAGUUCUAGAACGUCAGGACACGAGUAGGCUGAAAAGCUUUAUUAUCUUUUCCCAAGUAUGAUUACUCACACUAACAUCUAAUUCUAAACUUAAAUGCUGAGAUGAGUCUUGAAGAAGCGAUAGGAUACGUUGCAUCUGAUGAACUUAUUAAGGUAGUUUAUGAUUUAUUCAUUCAAAUUGUCUUUCCCAAGGUCAAUAUAGCCCCUUUAUGUUCACUAAAGAUGUUGCAAUAAUUCACGAUAUUGCAUUUGGGUAAAUUUAUGCUUUAUUAAGGUAGUUUAUGCUUUAUUCAUUCAGCAAUGGAGUUGGUGCCAUGUUUAUGCAAUCCAAAGGGACUUGAUUUACAUGAUGUCUAAGGAAUUAGCCUUUUAGUUGAAAAAUGUAGUCUCAUAUUUUCCGGACUAUACUUAAGUCCUCUUCUCCUAAGUUAUUGUCUGCUUUGUCAGACAUCUUUCUAAAGUCUACAAAAGAUGAUGGUUAUUUGCAGCAUGCCUCUAUUGGUUGAAAAAUGAAAACUUGUGCUUUUGUGAUAGGUUGACUUUGUUAUUAGUUAGGUUACUUCAGUUGUUGGUUCAUAAGCAUAUUGUGGUAGUUACUGCUAGUUGUCUUGUGUAUGUUUGCACUUCAUCCAUUUCUUUUAAUGACUUUUGCUUCUUCUAUGUCUUGGAGUUCUUUUGUUUCGUAUGGGCUAGGGUAUUUUGUAUAUUCUAUAUAUUCCAAUACUAGUUCUAUUUGAACUAUUUGCAGCCCACAAUUGGUGAAAUUUCUUCAAUAUCAGAUAAAAGUAUGUUGUCAAAUCUCUUGGGGAAGACAAUAAAGUUAGAAACGGAGGAUUAGGAGACACACCCAUAGAGUUUAUUAGAACUCUUGCCUAAAAAUUAGAAUUCUUCAUUCCAAGCAUCCUUCUAAUUAUAAUUUUAAAACUAAACUAAAUUUUCAAAUGAAACAGGGAGAUGGAUCUCAUGCUAGUUCCUUAUUCCUCAGAUCCCAACCUAAAAAUAAUCCAAAUGCCUCCCUUUUUACUAGCCAGCAAGGUCAAUAUAGCCCCUUUAUGUUUUCUUUUAAUUUUUAGGCAUACUUAUAGCAACUGUUAACAAUUUUUCUACUGCUACAUAUUCCAAUAGCAUUGGAUAUGGCUGUUGAAUUUCGAUCCGAAGAUUCUGACCUGUGGAAGCACAUUUAUGCAGAUGAGUACAUGAAAUGUGAAGUGAUAGAGUGCUGUGAAUCUUUAAAAAAUGUACUAAAUGUUCUGGCAGUUGGAGAAAAUGAGAAAAGGUUCCAAGCUACAUUCCUACUUAUUGAACUAAACAUCAUCAAAUAAUCAUAGUUCUUUCGUUUUUGUCAGUUGCAGUUUUUUUUUUUUUUUUUUGUCGACUUUGACACUUGAACAAGUUUUUUUUUAUGAGGAUAUAUUAAGAAUCUUGCUUUUAAGGCUUCCUCUUUUCUCUCUCGCUUUAUUUAAAUGAUAGUAAAUGGUUCAAAUUAGUUUAUUACAACAAUGAUUUGUAUGUAGUUUCAUUUAUAAUGUCAAUAUAUAUAUCAAAAUUCUUGAUUAAUUGAUUGCAGUUCAAAGAAAGUGUUAAACAAUUUGCUCAAGAUAACAUUGCUCCCCAUGCCACAAAAAUUGAUCAACCCAACUCUUUUCCAAAUUUCAGUUGGAAGUCCUUCUCUAUAUGUUUAAUGAGUUGCUAUAUGAUUUGAUUAAAAUGUAUUGUAUUGUAGGAUGUUAACUUAUGGAAGCUCAUUCGGGACUUCGAUCUCCAUGGAAUUAGAACAUCAGGUACAUGUUAAUGGCCCACUCUUAGUUAAUGUCGUUCAUAUUAUAGGAUUAAGAGUAAUAGAUACCUUUCUUUUUUAUCAUGGAUAGUAUGCUUGUACUGGUUGGCUAUUGCUACUUGUGUAAAUUGGCAUGAGUGUUAUGUCUGUACUUAUUGCUAUUGCUAAAUUGCUGCUUGUGUAAAUUGUCAUGGAUUUUAUGUCGUACUCAUUGGUAGAGCUUUUUUUGGAUAAGAAACUAGGAGACCUUUAAUUUCUGUUAAGCCAUAAAUGAUACAAGUUGUUCUAGUUUCAUUUUCCUAGUACCUUAAUAUUUCUUGGCUUCGUUAACUGAAGUGGAUUACACAUGAAAACUGUCUUAUUUCUGAUAUUUGUAGAUUUGAAAGUGUUUGACUCCUUAAGAUGGAAACUUUUCGGUUCUUGUCGGAUAACGUUUCUUCUAACCUUAUUGACAGUGAACUACUAAUGGAUUCUUAAGUUUCAUUCAUCUCGAUUAUUACUUAUGAUUACUUAUUCAAUAAUUUCCUUGUAGAUUACUUAUUUAUAUCCAGGUAAAUUUUCUAAAGAGCAAUGAUACAAGAGUUGUAAUUUGUGAAAAGUUUCAAUAUUGUAGACCAAGUGGAUGUUACGGUGAUGCUGUUAUUAUACAUUUGUGCUCUGCUAUGUAGUUGUUUCUCUUAUUGACGCAUGUAGUGAUAGGUAAUGCUCAAUGUUGAAAGUUUCUAUAAGAGUUGUACUCUCUUGUCCUAUGAUGGAUGCUUAUAUUCAUGUUGUCUUUGUAGGUUCAACUGAAGUCGACAACUUCAUAAGUUUACUUUCAAAGAACAUUUUCAGAGAUGAACAUUCUCGGUUGGUCGUUUAUGCUUCUGCAGAAAAUCUUGUUAGAUGUAUUCUAAUGCUAUUUAAAAUAUUUUUUGAUUAAGGGUUGAGAUUUCGUACUUGUAAAUUGUUGACACUUGAUUGGAAAUGUACGAAUAUUAUAAAUUGUAUUAUAUCGUAUAUAUAUUAAAGUGUUGGCUACUUUUUUCUAUAUGGGUGUCAAUAUUAUAAAUUCAAAAUUGUCAUUCUCAGCUACAUUAUUGUCAUUCAAAUGGUUUGUGUAAUGGUGGAGCGGCAAGGAGAACAGGAAAAAACUGUAGUAAAUUGAGAAAUUUGCAACAGAAAAUAAAUGACGUAAUAAAUGAAUUUGUGACAGUUAUUAAUUGUUGUCAAUCUGAAAAUGAUGAUAGUUGUUUAAUAAAAUAAAUUGUCACAAUUGCCCUAUAUGUGACAGGAAAAAAAUGUCGUCAAUAGCAAAACAAUGACAUUUUUAUACAAAAAAACUGUCGUGAUUAACAUAUUCAUGACAAUUAAAAAAUGUCACAAUAAAUGAAUUUGCGACAUUUAUUUAACCGUCGUUAAUACACAAAUGAUGAUAGUUAUUUGUUGUCAUAAAAUAAAAUAUGACAGUUAUUUGACGUCAUUGAAUUCUGAUUAACGACAUUUAUUUCAUGUCAUAAAAUAACUUAUUGCGACAGUUUUUAAAAACUAUCAUCGAAUGACUUUCCAUGACUCCCGCUUCUAUGACUGAAAAAUAACUGUCGUGAAUUUCGUUUGCGACAGUAAAUAACUGUCGUCGUAGACCACUUUUCUACUAGUGUGAGAAGCAUAUUAGUGCCAAUUCGAGAGAUGGUGCCAAAUUUGCUCGAUACUACUGGAUUCUUUGUUAGGAGAGGUGGAUCAUCAACACAUAAGGAACCUUGGCCACUUGUCAUUGUCGACUCCAUUCCAUUUCAACGCAACAAUAGUGAUUGUGGUGUAUUUACAAUUAAGUAUUUCGAAUAUGAAGCUUCUGGUUUAGAUGUAGCUACAUUAUGUCAAGAAAACAUGUCAUAUUUUAGAAAACAAUUGGCAUUUCAAUUAUGGACCAACAAUCUCAUGUAUUGACUUUUAGUUCCAACUUUUGAAGGAAUUGUAUAUGUUCCAAACUAUGUACAUAAAUAGUUUUAUAUAAUGGAAUGAAUACCAUUUUUAUUUUAUGGUAUGAAAUUUUUAUUUCAUUCUCUUGGAAAAUUGUAAAGUGUGCAGAACUUUUAUAUAAUGUACAACAAUGCAGGUGAGAGCAACAUUCUCAUGCUCUUAGAAUUAGGAAGGCCAAUUUAUCCCACACUGUAUGAAAAUUUCACCUCUUUGAAUGCUAAUUGUUUUUGGCAGGUGUCUUAUAAACAUUUUUGGAUUUCUGAUGUAUGAAUAUAGGCAUUCUUGAUGUGUUACCGGUGGUGGAGCAGAACUUUGUGGUGGCUGCGGAACUGCAGAAGUAAUGGGUUCAGGUUCUGCAUCAAAAUCAAUUAAACUUCCAGAAGGUUGCUGAUAUCUCUGUGCAAAAUCAAUUAAACUUCCAAAAUCAAUUAAACGACCUGUUAGGGAUAUUUUGGGAGAGAAUGUAUCUCCACUUCGUGUUAUUGAACCACCAAAAAGUAGUGGUACGACCAAGGUUGCUGAUAGCUCUGUGCAUUAACAUUUCAUCCUUCUGAGAAUUGGUAUCUGUCCAUUUAUUUGAGCCUUUCAUUUAAAAUUGAUCACGUUUGGUAUGUUCUUGUUAUCUCAGCAAGAGCCUCCUCUAUAUAACGGUGGUAAAGUAUUGGACUUGGUCGUUGCAUACAUUAACAGGUUAUGAUAUGAUAAAAUGUGGGGGAUGUAAGUUUACCAUGAUACAAGAGUGCUCUAGAGAAUUAUAUGCUUGGUAUUCAAUGGCCAUGGAAAUAGUUUUAGUUAGCUCCUCGUGAAAAAUGGAUUUGUAUAUAGCCUCACGUAGAAGGUUUUCAUUAUAAAAACCUCUUAUGUAGGAACAAUUGAUCCUCAUUACCAAUAGCAUCAUUUUGAUCUAUGUCUUGUUCUGUACCUUUGUUGUUAACCAGCCAGCUUUAUACAUUACUUAUCAUUAGCUCAGUCUUGCUACUAGCUGAACUUUCAUAGUCAACUCAUCGACAUUAACUGUCACUCUGAUCCUUUGAGUGUUAUUAAUUAUUGUUUUUUCCAUUGAGAUUACUAUGCUUGAAGAGGUGGUUCAUAUGCUUGAAGAGGCUGAACCUUGUAACUUUAUUGACAUAGUUGUCAAGAAAGAAUGUGAAAACUAAAAGUAAUCAGCAAGAUUUGAAUUAUUACUACUGCAGUAGCAAAAGGAGAGCAGUUAUUGAGUUCUAAAGCACACAAUAUUAUUUACUUCUCACGGAUGGUUCAAACAUUAUUCUUUACAGCUUUGGAGUUGUUCUAAUGGAAGUACCAACAGAAAAGAAGCCCAUUUUCUAAGACACCUGCCAGGAAAACAACAGGAAAGCAGAAUGAGAAAUCUAAAAGGUAAUUUGAAAGAGAUGGUAGAUCCCAUCAUAUCAUAGGCUCAGGUGGAGAAUGCAGUCAAAGUGGUAAGGAUCGCACUUCGCUGCAUGACUAAGAUUCCAUCUACAAGGCCCUCCAUGCAAAUGGUGGUUCAUAUGCUUGAAAAGGCUGAACCUUGUAACUUUAUUGACAUUGUUGUCAAGAAUGAAUGUAAAAACUAUAAAAGUAAUAAGCAAGAUUUGCAUCAUUACUACUGCAGUAGCAAACGGAGAGCAUUUAUUGAGUUUAGUGUUAGGUCAUAAUAGGAUUUCAAGUCUUUCUCAAAAAGCUUGAAAUGCCAAAAGAGAGCAUUUCUGUUAAAAACGACCACCUGCUUUAGCUAUGAAGUUCUACCUUAUUCAAACUUUACAGAAAGAUGAGAUUAAAGUGAAAAAUAUUCCUUAAACUCAAGAGCACGGCUGUACAGAAACUUGUGACACAGUUGUACAAUUUAUAGAACAGAUUCAGAUCAAAUAAGGGCAUAGAACAAAAUAUACACUUAGAAAUUCAUAUUCUGCACAAGUUUGCAGUCAACAGAAAUUUAUAGAACAGAUGCCAAAGGAGAGCAUUUCUGUUAAAAACCAAAUACCAUAUAAAAUGGUUGUUACACACACAAACAUUGUAAAAAAAAAAUACAAUGAGUAAAUAGUCUAUAAACAGUUCACAAUAGGAUAAAUAAAAAGAGAAGGAAAGUCUUGAAGUUGCAGAAGAAAAUUCUUCAACUUAGAAUUGUCAGUGAGAUGACUUUAGUGAUCCUGCGAACAACACAGGACACAAUUUUAUAAGCAUCUUCCACCUGCAUUAAAACAAUGAACCUUUUUUACAUCGUGAUCAUGCAAACAACUCAAGCACAAACCAAGCAAGUAUAAAACUAUUACUACGUACCAAGACGGGUACUAAUCUUGUAUGCUCGACUUCUGAAUGUAUGAAAUUGGAUUGGUACACGUUAAUCUAUUGUGGCCUGUUUCUUUACAUCGACCACAUUUAUGCAAUUUUGGUGCUUCACCGACACUUGGAAUCCUAUUUUUCUUCGGUCGACCAACUCUUUUCACUACUUUCGGAGGUAAGACAGUCAUAUGUACAUAUUCUUCAGUUGUCUUCCAUUCCGACUGAUUCCCAACUAGGUAGACGACCUCCGAAUAUGCUGCCAACAAACAUUCAUUAGUGUAAUAGUUAGCACAUAAGCUAUAAACAUUUAUAUUGCGAUCUCGUGCUACAGCAAUGGCAUGUGCGCAUGGUAGUUGCUCAGCUUGAAACUCCUUACAAGUGCACUCUUGAGUAUGAAGAUUUACGACCUCCUCUUUAUCUAAAUCCUUAACAUGGAAUUGGUAACAAUCAAUUGGGUUGACUUUCAUUGUCAAAGCUCGUUCUUGUUUCUUUUGUAGAACUAACUCUGCCCAUUCAGUCAAUGUAGACGUCACUUUAAUGCCUUCUUCUCGAUGCUCCCAAAACCAACGUUGUAGCAAAGCUCGAACAUGUUCAAGGAAUGAAGCAAUAGGCAAAUCUCUAGGUUCUUUCAGUAUAGAAUUCAUGGACUCUGCUAUAUUUGUUGUCAUCAUAUUAUAUCGUCUUCCUGGACAGUGAAACACGAGACCAACGUGUUAUUCCAACAUCGUUUAAAUAUUUUCCUGAAUCAUUAGGAAAUGCAAGAAUACUUCUCCACGCUUCUGAGAACGUUGAUUCACGAUAUGUUCUAGAUGCAUUGUAAAACAAAGUAGCUAUAGUGUCAUUCUUGUAUUUAUCAUUCAAAUUUUGAGUCAAGUGUUAGACACAAAGUCCAUGGAAUGCGGAGGGAAAAACCAAUGCAAUACACUUAGAAAAACAUGUUUUUUGAUCUGUCACGAAGCCUAGAUUAGGCACCUCUCCUGUUGCACCUUUCAAUUUCUCUAAGAACCACUGUAUUGAAGCAUCUGUUUCUCUGUCCACCACUCCAAAGGCAAGAGGAUAAAUUUGAUUGUUACCAUCCAAGCAAAUAACAACUAUCAACUGACCCCGAUAUUUGUUCUUAAGGAAUGUUCCAUCCAUGACUAUAACCGGUCUAAUGCAGUUUAAGAAUCCUCGAACACAUGGACCAACAACCAUAAAAAGAUAUUUGAAGAAACGAUCAUCUUCAAGUUCCAUGUGAAAUAUUGUACCUACAUUUGCAAGUUUGAGAGCUUCACCAUAUCUAAGCAAUAGAUUAUAUGACUCUUCAGGACACCCGCGCACUCGUUCAUAUGCAUUUUCUCUAGCGCGCCAUGCUUUUUCAUAACUCAUAUUUAUGUCAUAGUCUUGCCUCAUGUCUUCUAUGAUAUCAUGUGGUUUGUAUAGACGACCGACUCCCUUGAACUUUGACUUUAUUAAUUCUCCAACAACCCAAGAUUUUGCGUGCCUAUGGUCACGAUUCAAAACGUCAAGAGAACACGAAUGAACUUUGACAUACUUUUUAAUCUUAAAUAUAUUUGACUCCUUCAAUCCCAUCGCUCGCAGUCUCCAACCACACUUGUUGUCAAUGCAUCUAACAAAGAGAACCUCUUUUGUAGACUUUUUUACUACAAACUGAAAUUUUUUUUUCAUCGCCAAGACACUUAAUCUCAUUGACAAAUCUUUUUUGGAAAAAAAUAUUUGUCCUACAUCAAACUCCUCACUUGUAGAGCUUUCUUCGGACCAAUCAUUCCUGUCUGUCUUCAACUUUUGGCUAGAAGAGCUGUAACGAACUUUAGAUUUUCCUUUGCAAUCUUUUGUAGGACCAUCUUUAUGUUGUUGGGAUGUCAAAUGAUUCACUAUUCAUCUCUACUGGCUCCCAUGUAAAAGUCUCAUCUUUCGAAUCAUAUGACUCAUAUGAUUCCCAUAUAGCCGAAGUGGUCCCUAUCACGUUAUCACACAAGCCAACUUCAACUUCACGAACAUGAACUUCAUUCUCAUUUAAUGUAUCCAUUACAAUUGGAGGAUGAGGGUUUAAGUUAUGAGCUUGGUUGCUGCCAGAUACUGAAUUGUAAUCUUUGCUUAACACUUUUUUGCUUUGAUUACUUUUAGGCUCAAAUGAGACGUAUAAAGGGACCUCUAAUGGAUUUUCACUAAGAAGAUAAAACUUCAAAUCACGGCCAUUGCUUAACUCAAAUGGAGGAGCUUCGUGUUCCACUUUUAUCUCAUAUGUGCAUCUUAUCAUUACGUCGAACUUUGAAGGGUCAACUUCUGCAAGGUCAUAUAAUUCUGCCUGUAAAUCUUUAUGUGUUAUUUCUUUACUGACAACGAUGCCUUUUAACAUGCCUCCUUCGUAUUUUCUUCGCCUCUCAUCCCACGUACCACCGUAACGCACUAACAUGGGAACAUGUGACAUCCUUAAACCACCUUAUACUUUUCAAUUGCUGCAAAAAAUGAUUUGAAGUUAGAAUUUGACAUAUCACAUAAACAAAGUUUAUUAAAAAACAGUAGGUAAAUACUAAAUAAAAUGUGCAUAGUCACACCCUACAUGUUUACGAUAUUGACAGCUACAAAAUGUUUAGGAUAUUGCGAGAUACAAAAAACAACAGUUAAAAGUCACCCUAAAUCAAUUCAUUUCAGAUUAAACAUUUCAAUUUAAGAACCUGCGAGAUGUCUGCGAGAUGUUUGCGAGAUGUUUGCGAGAUUUCUACCAGAUGUUUGCGAGAUAAAAUAAUAAUAAUAAUAAAUUGCUAACAUCCUUUGAAACAUCUCUAAAACAACCUUAAAUUAACCAUAAAUCAACUUGAAACAAUAAAAAAUAAUAUUUGAUUUAUACAUUUAAGAUGCAAAUAUAUAUACAUAUAACACAACACAAUUCAAAUUCGGAUUUAAAAAAAAUUAAAACAAACCACAAUGUGUGAGAUGUUUGUCGGAGUAGAUGAUGAACGACACCGGAGUAAAGCCGAAAGUUGACAAACUUUUGAGAGAGGAGAAGAAUUGCAAAUGGGUUUUUCUUUUUUCUUUUUCCUUUACAUAAUCUAUGAGAAGGAGAAAUGCAACAAAUGAGUUUUUCUUUUUUCUUUACAUAAUCUAUGAGACUGCAACAGAAGGAUUUUUUUUUUCCCUUUACGUAAUCUAUGAGGAGAGGAGAAGAAGGCUGCCUUCGAAAUUCUGUUUUUUUCCUUCAGGUGAAUGACAUUGAAGAGAGAAAGAGAGGUUGGAAAAGAAGAGAAGAGCAAAUGUGAAUUGAAAUUAAAUGAGGGUAUUUUCGUCAUUUCACCUCCAAUUUGUCCUAUAUGUCAACUUUUUUACAAUCAAUCCUAAAAGUCUUUAUCUACCCCAUUUUUGGCCUAUUUUUGUCAAUUCUCCAAUAAAUAUAAAUUUGAGAAACAAAAGCUAAUAAUCAACACUUCAGAAACCCUAUCUUACAAGAUACCCAUCUCGCCAAUCCACAGUCAUUAUUUUCUCCUAGCUCUAAUAGUGCCAGAAUCAAGGGCGAAAGAGCCCCUCGAAAACUCAAGUUGUCUUUCAAAGAAAAAGCUCUAUCGUCAGAUCCUAACUCUGUGGUUCUCGAUUUCAAACACUCGUCGGCUAAGUUGAAUAGCCCGUUUCCACCCUAGGUUUUGGUUCAUUUUUGUCUUAAUUUUGGGGUUUUGGUUUUAGUUUUUUCUUGAUUAUUUAUUAGAAUGCUUGUUGAUAUGAGUGCAUGUUUUAUUGCUAAAGUAAAUGUUAGAAACAACAUGGCUUUCAGAAAUUUUAGAUAGUGCAUACAAGUUUUAGAUAGAUAAAGAAAAAUGUUUUUACAUACACGAGUUUACAUGUCCACUUAGGAGGUUCCUUGAAGAGAGUUUUGUUUUCCUAUCUUAUUGAGAAAACGAUUUUCGUACAGGAAUCUUAUUAAUAUUCUUGCCGAGAUUUCUCAAACCGGAAAACAAAGGCACAUCCCGUACAGACUCUAAGCUCACUUUUUUUUUAUUGCAAGAAUCUCUCGAGGGAAAUGCAAAAUUAGCGAUGGUUUGUGCCAUUUCUCCAUCACAAGGUUAAUAUAACAUUGGGCUCCACUUACCUCGAAGAUUGUUUUUUUCUUGAAAUGAAAAUUUAUUUCGAUUGUUUCUGCAGCGGCAAGAAUGAAAGCUUUAGCACCUUUGUGGUUUGCCCACCAUGCCCAAAGCUAUAAAGAACAAAAUUGUUGUUAUUGAAGUUACGCAACAUGACGUGAAUCACUUGCAUGAAGUGAUACGACAGCUCAUGGUACACUUUUUGUUUUUAUUAUUUAGCAAUUUUUCAUAUAAUGUUUGCACUUUUUGAGUUGUGAUUUGUGAAUAUGACUAAAUUAAGAAGGCCCUCAUUCAUAUUUUCAUAUAAACAUGUAGAGAAGGCUAAUGUGCCAAUUAACAAAAUUGAUGUUGGCGUGCAAACAUUUUGCAAUGACGAGGCUGCUGUGAAAACCAUAAUAUGUGCACUAGUUGCAAAAUUAGAAAUUAGAUGGAGGUUAGAGAGGAGGAUGGCAUAUCAAAUCUUCAAUUAAUACCUGCGGAUGGUACACUACAGCCUCUGCUGAGAAAUAAAGGAUACAAGUUCCUAAAGUAUACAAGUUGAAAUUCUAUGUUUUUCCAGCUGCUUAGUGUACAUGUUGCUAAUAAUUUUUGUUCUUCUGCAAGCAGUUGAGAAAGUUCUUGCUGGGGCUAUUAGAAGAGAAAUGGCACUUGAAGGUACUGCAAUAAGUAAGCAUUUUGACAACCAAUAAGAGAUGAAGAGAUUUUAGCUACAAAAUUUUUAGUUGUUAUUAUACAUUAGGUAUUAAUAGAAUUAAGCUCGUUUUAAUAUCAUCAAUUUUGGCUUGAUAAGUUAUAUUGAUUUUUCAUAAACUUUUAAUUUAUCAUAUUGCACCUUAAACUCAAAUAAAUAUUAUUGUUAUUUACAGUCUAAGGUAUGUUUCAUUUUCCCAAGUCAAUCGAUUUAUAAGCGUCGGUAGAGUUUUUUAAGAGUCAAUUUUGUGCAUUAAUCCAUUUUAAUUGAUCUAAAAUUUGAUUUUUGUUCAACAUAUUGAGUUUUUUUUUUUAAUUAAUCAUUUAUUUAUUAAAAGUAUUGGAUGCAUUAAUUUGAAGGAUUUUUUUUUUUAAAUAUAACAAAACCAUAUUUUUCAUUUGUGCUAGAUUACAAAAGACUUAGAUACACAUAUACUAAUUUAGCCAUAGAUGCUAAUAGAUGUUUGUAAACGUUUAUUGAUCUAUUGCAAAGUUUCUUUUCUUAUCUCAAGUCAUGUUAUAAUAAUUAAUAAUGAUAACUGUAAUAGUGAGUUUUUAAGACAUUAUAAUUAAAUUGUAAGUUUUGGGAAACGCUUUCUAUAUAUAUAUAUAUACAUUAUCGAAAUAGGGUUUUAAUGAAUUUUUAAUAUGUACUUAAAAAAUUUAUAGACAUACUAAACACAAGAUUAAAAGGUUAAGGACCUAUUAAACACUUUUAAAAUUCAAAGAUUUAUAGUUUUACCGACAAGAAGAAAAAUCAUGAGGUCACCAAGAGGUAUAUGUUCGACUAAAAAUUUUGUGUAUUGAAUCUAUUCAGCCGGAUAUUGAGUUAAAAGAAAAUAAAAUGGAAAUAAGUUGAGUAAGAAGAUGCACGUGAAUGCAUAAUUUGAGAGUUUGUGGUCUACAAUUAGAUUUUUUCCUUGUUAUUGCUUAGUAGCGAGUCAUGAUCAAGUCACAUUAUAAUACAAUACCUUUUUUUUCUUUUUCUUUUUUUUUUUGUGGUUGAUUGUAUGGAUAAAUUUCACCCAGUCAAACGCAGUAAACAUUAAACUUUAAGUCAAUAUCCAAACAUACAUCGUAACUGUCAUCCCUACUCAGUUCACAUAUAAUAUUACGGUCCAUACAGUCAAUACAUCUUAAUUAGUCAAUACAUCUUAAUUUUUGUUAUUGAGUCCAGUAGAAAAUCCCUUACCUCACUUUUAUGCAAGUUCUUCAAUCUAACUAAAUCCAAUAAAUCAAAUCCUACUAAUAAUCAAACAUAAAAUCAACAUCUUUCUAAAUAGUUUCAACCAUUCAAAUUACCCCAUAUGUAAAUUCCACAACUUACCCAAGAAGUGGAAAAUCAAUUCCACCUCAACUUUUUGGAAAAUCAAGGAUUCGCUCACUGAAUCAAGAUAUACCUUCAAGAAUUAAGCAUUUCGCCAACAAUUAAAUCCAAUGGUAGCAUUCAACAAAAGCCAAGAAAACAACAAAACCCAUAACUUGUUCUUACCGAAAUAUGAGCCCAAUGGUUCACGGCAAGGCAAAAAUGACAAUCAAGAAACGAAUCAAACGGCUGUAAAUAGAGCAACACUGAAUGCGACUCAACCGGAAAAGAAAAUCGACUUCAAAUCGUAACUCCGUCUUACAACGAGCAGAAGAACGUCGACUUGAUAGGGGACACGCAAUUUAGGAAGAGAUCGGCUUGGAUCCGUGUAUGACUUCACGAGAUGUAUGCGUCGACGGCUUCACGGAUGUGAAGACAGACGCGGUCGGAGUGUAGAGGGUUUAGGCGGUCGGCGUCCGCUAAGGGAGGCGAAACGCGCCAACGGCUGGGGAAGGGAGUAGAAGCGCGCGAUCUGGGACGUGGUGACGCUGGUGGUUGUUGGGCUGCGAACGGAAGGAGAAGAGAGGGAGGCGUGCGGCGUGCGGGGUACAGGAAGGAGAAGAAGAAAAUACGCGCGGGAGGAAGAAGAAGAAAAAUUUUCUUUUCUUUUCUUUUAUUUAAUUUAAUAAUAAAAAUUAUAAAAUAAAUAAAUAUAUAUAGUUAUAUUAUUACAUUUUCAAAUCUUCUUUCUCCCCCUUCAACAUAUUUUUUUUUAAAAAUAAGUCUUGAACGAAUCGAAAAAUUUCUUAAAAUAAAAUACGUUCGAGUUUGGGGCGUUACAUUUCAGAGAAAAAACGUCAAGAAUUUUUAUGAAAAGACGGAGAUGGUCAAAUCUUUAACUUUCUUGACGUUUUUUAAACGUCAAGUAAUAUUUAUUUUUUCUUGACGUUUUAAAAAUGUCAAGUAAUAUCUAUUAAAUUCUUAACGUUUUUAAAACGUCAAGAUUUUUAUGAAAAGACAUAAUAGAGGUAAGUUUUUUAAUUUCUUGACAUCUUUUAAACGUCAAGUGAGAUGUUUUUCUUGACGUUUUAAAAACGUCAAAGUUCUAUAAAAUAAUAAUAAUAAUAAAAUAUAUAAUUUUUUUAUAACCCCCAAUUUCUCUUCCUCUUCCACGAUAAAAAUAAACACAAAAUCCCUAACCCUCUCUUUAAACGACGACAAAUCCCAAGUUCUCAACCCACUCCUACGGCAACCAACGACAACUGAUGACAACCAGCGGCAACCCACUACCUCUCCCCUUCUAUUUCAUCCUACUCGUUCAGAAUCUCAGUCUCAAACUUCUUGAAAGAGAAAGAGCUGCGACUGCUGUGCUGGACGAACUGCCUAAAGGGCGAAGACCUUAAUGUUCAACCUUUUGAUUUUGAUGAAAGGUACGUAGUGGAAGGCUCCGUGGAAGACUCCGCACGGUUUCGAUCUCGAAGAAAAAGGUACAUAGUAUUCUUUUCUCUUUGUCGAUUAUCUUUGAUUAAAUUGUUCUAUCUUGUUCCCUUCCAUUUGGGGGUUUUCAGUUUAUAUUACGCUAAUGUUUGGGUUGGAAUGUCGUCGUUAGAUUUCCUUAUGGUUAGACACUGGAAGUAAUUUGUUUUGAUUAUCGUGUGAAUGUUCUAGUUGUUUUACCCAUUUAAACACAUCAAAUGAAGGAAAUGUAUUUAAACCGACGAUGCAAAUCUUGAAGUUGAUGUUCUCUCCAAUGAAAUCAGCUGGUUUAUUAAUGUAAAUACUGUAAAUUAGGCUAAUUACAUUACAUUAGGCUAAUUAUAUGACAUUCCUUAAUUAUGUUGGAUUAGCUAUUUAUACAUCAUUUGAUAUUAUUGUAAAAGACAGAUUUUUCAUCAAUAGAAAAUACCUUUCACAUGGUAUCAGAGCCAACCCUAGAUCUACUUUAAUCACUGCCGUCGCCGCCGCCGCCGCCGCCGCCUCCCGAGAACCGCCGCGUCUGCGUUAACUCCAAGAAGCACUGCUAGCCGAAAAGUAGAUCUCCGUCCCGUGCUAGCGUUUUUCUUCCACUGCUAGCCGAAAAGUUCAGCAGCAACAAUCGCUCCGUCACAACCUAGGUGUCGCGCCACUCCGUCCAGUCGCAGCCUCGGCGUCGCGGCGUUCAAAUCGUCGCGUCGUCCUCUCCGAUCUGAAGCACCAGUCGUUGCCGAGUUGCAACAAUCUCUGCCGUUCCGAGCCGCACGCAACUCCUCUGUCUUCCCAAGCCGCACGCGACUCCUCUGUCUUCCCAAGCCGCACGCGACUCCUCUUCCAGUCGUGAAUCCAAGACGCCACGGCCCACCAGAUCCGACGAACCUUCUAGCCGACUGUCCUCAUUCGUUUGUCUCCGCUCACAGCCGUAACCCCUCUGUCCGUAAGCCGUGACCCUCUGUCCAUUGUUGCAACCCAGCCGCGAAGACAAAUCCUGACCGCCGCGAAGACAAAUCCUGACCGUCGCGAAUCCAGUCGUGUCCUCGCCGUCGCAACUCAGCCGCGACCUAGACAAGAAGACGCUCACCUAUCACGACUCCCAGCCUUACAAACCAAUCAACAAUCCCAAUUGCAAAAUCCAGAAUCUGACGAAUCCAAUCACGAAUCAAUAGAAAAUUUUAGACAAAUUCAGCCGGAAAUUCUCAUUGUUAACAGCGAAUCCAAAUGGAGAGGGACCAUAUUUUUAGACCCAUAGGUACAAUUCUUGAUGGUACAAAUUAUAUCACAUGGGCAAAUCAAAUGAAAAGUUUUCUUAUUGGAAGAAAACUAUGGCGCAUUGUAACUGGCGACAUAACCAAACCAACUGCACAAGACAAGGACAAGGAAGGGGAUAAUAAAUUCAUUGAACGCCUCGAAGAUUGGGACAGUAAAAAUCAUCAAAUUAUCACCUGGCUUGGUAACACCUCUAUUCCCGCUAUACAUGCACAGUUUGAUGCCUUUGAUGAUGCUAAAAACUUAUGGGAUUUUUUGUCUACACGCUUCAAGUCUAUUGGUUUAGCUCAUUAUUAUCAACUGCACAAUACACUUGUAAAUCUCAAUCAAGAUAUUGGUCAGUAUGUCAAUGAAUAUUUGGCAGUUCUUCAACCCAUUUGGACUCAGCUUGACCAAGCGAGCAUCAGCAAAGAACAUCUUCGCCUUAUUAAAGUUCUUAUGGGAUUACGCCCAGAAUAUGAAUCUGUUAGAGCUGCUUUACUACACCGGAAUCCCUUACCCUCUUUAGAUGCAGCUAUUCAAGAAAUUUUGUUUGAAGAAAAGCGUUUUGGCAUCAAUUCUACUAAACAAUCUGAUGUUGUCCUUGCCAGCACAUACACUCCCAACAGAGCCUCAAAUAUGUUUUGUAAGAAUUGUAAGCUCUCUGGUCACAAAUUUAUUAACUGUCCUAAAAUAGAGUGCAGGUACUGCCAUAAACAUGGCCACAUUCUGGAUAACUGCCCUACCAGACCACCCCGACCUCCUGGCACUUCCACAAAAGAGAAAAUUUUUACCAAACAUGGUUCCUCAUCUGUUGUUGCUGCGACCUCGGAUGAUUCAUCCCUCAUUCAGAUAAGUGAUCUUCAGAGCUUAUUGAAUCAACUAAUUUCAUCAUCCUCUGCCCUUGCUGUUUCAUCAGGUAAUCGAUGGCUUCUUGAUUCUGCCUGUUGUAAUCAUAUGACCUCUGACUCUUCUCUUAUGUCUACUUCUAGCCCUACAAAAUCUUUACCUCCUAUUUAUGCUG
rnacentral:lncRNA from 1 species